CGCGUAGGCGGGUAUAUAAGUCAGAUGUGAAAUUCCAAAGCUCAACUUUGGAGCUGCAUUUGAAACUAUAAAUCUUGAGGAUUGACGGAGAAAACAGAAUUCCACGUGUAGCGGUGAAAUGCGUAGAUAUGUGGAGGAACACCUGUGGCGAAAGCGGUUUUCUAGUUUAUACCUGACGCUGAGGCGCGAGAGCAAGGGGAGCAAACA
rnacentral:rRNA from 1 species